ACAUACAAAAAAUGCUUAUUUAAAUUCCUUUUGACCAAAGAGCUGAAAAUUCUGUGUUCCAGUUCAUCUCACUCUUUUUAUUCUGAUGCGAAACACUCUAAA